CCCGCUGAACUUAAGCAUAUCAAUAAGCGGAGGAAAAGAAACUAACAAGGAUUCCCCCAGUAACUGCGAGUGAAGAGGGAAGAGCUCAAAUUUAGAAUCUGGCAGUCUUUGGCUGUCCGAGUUGUAAAUUAGAGAAGUGUUAUCCGCGCUGGACUGUGCAUAAGUCUCUUGGAAAAGGGCAUCAUAGAGGGUGACAAUCCCGUCUUUGGCACAGACUCCCAGGGCUUUUGUGAUGCGCUCUCGAUGAGUCGAGUUGUUUGGGAAUGCAGCUCUAAAUGGGUGGUAAAUUCCAUCUAAAGCUAAAUAUUGGCGAGAGACCGAUAGCGAACAAGUACCGUGAGGGAAAGAUGAAAAGAACUUUGGAAAGAGAGUUAAACAGUACGUGAAAUUGCUGAAAGGGAAACGCUUGAAGUCAGUCACGUUGACUCGGAAUCAGCUCUGCUUUUGCUGGGUGUACUUUCUUGUCAAUGGGUCAGCAUCAAUUUUGACCAUUGGAUAAAGUUGCUGGGAAUGUAGCAUCCUUUUGGAUGUGUUAUAGCCUGGUGAUGCAUACAGUGGUUGGGAUUGAGGAAUUCAGCACGCCACCAGGCCGGGUUUUGACCACGUUCGUGCUUAGGAUGCUGGCAUAAUGGCUUUAAUUGACCCGUCUUGAAACACGG
rnacentral:rRNA from 1 species